rfam:Eubacterium plexicaudatum ASF492 genomic scaffold acLZb-supercont1.7, whole genome shotgun sequence.
UUAAAGUGCAGGUAGAGAUACGCUGUAUACCCACAUUACCGAAUUUGUGUUUAAGUGUCAUGUACUGGCACCGGCUGUGGGGCCGCCGAAAGGCGGUUUUUUGCGUU